AAUCUGGCGACCCCAACAGAGCCGAGCUAGGGUUUCGCCUCCCCCGCCCCGCCUCCUCCUCCUCCGCACCGCGCGAACCGACCCGACCCCCACUUCGCCGCCGCCGCCGCAGCCGCAGCCGCGAUGGGGACGGAGCGGAAGCGCAAGGUGAGCCUCUUCGACGUGGUCGACGAGACCUCCGUCUCCGCCAAGCUCGGCCGCGCCGCCACCACCAACGGCUCGGCCGCCGCCGCCGCGGCCAACCCGUCCAUCAAUCGGUGGACGGGGAGGCCCUACUCGGCGAGGUACCUCGAGAUCCUCGAGAAGCGCCGCACGCUACCCGUGUGGCAGCAGAAGGACGAUUUCCUCGCCGUCCUCCGCGACAACCAGACCCUCAUCCUCGUCGGAGAAACCGGAAGCGGCAAGACCACUCAGAUUCCCCAAUUCGUGCUCGAGGCUGAAGGCUUGAGCAACCGCUCAAUGGUUGCUUGCACCCAGCCGCGGAGGGUGGCAGCUAUGUCAGUUUCCCGGCGUGUUGCGGAGGAGAUGGAUGUUACUAUCGGGGAGGAAGUUGGUUACAGCAUCCGUUUUGAGGAUUGCAGCAGUCACAAAACAGUUCUCAAAUAUUUGACAGAUGGUAUGCUUCUGAGAGAAGCUAUGGCAGACCCACUUUUAGAGAGGUACAAGGUGAUUGUUCUUGAUGAGGCCCAUGAGCGGACAUUAGCAACAGAUGUUCUGUUUGGGCUUCUGAAGGAGGUUCUAAAGAACAGACCUGAUUUGAAGCUUGUUGUUAUGAGUGCUACCCUUGAGGCUGAGAAAUUUCAGACCUAUUUCAGUGGUGCACCGUUGAUGAAGGUGCCUGGGAGACUUCAUCCGGUUGAGAUCUUCUAUACACAAGAACCAGAAAGGGACUACCUGGAAGCUGCUAUCAGGACAGUUGUUCAGAUACAUAUGUGUGAACCUGCUGGAGAUAUCCUUGUUUUCCUUACUGGAGAGGAGGAGAUUGAGGAUGCCUGUCGGAAGAUAAAUAAGGAAAUUAAUAACAUGGGGGAUCAGGUUGGCCCAGUUAAAGUUGUGCCUUUGUAUUCUACGCUGCCUCCAGCAAUGCAGCAGAAGAUUUUUGAACCUGCUCCAGCCCCAUCAAGAGAGGGAGGCCCAGCUGGAAGGAAAAUUGUUGUGUCCACAAAUAUUGCUGAGACAUCCCUAACCAUAGAUGGUAUAGUGUAUGUGAUAGACCCAGGGUUUUCCAAACAGAAGGUUUACAAUCCAAGGAUAAGGGUGGAGUCCCUUCUGGUGUCGCCAAUUUCAAAGGCAAGUGCACAUCAGAGAGCUGGUCGUGCUGGAAGAACGCAACCUGGGAAGUGUUUCAGGUUAUAUACAGAGAAGAGUUUUAACGAUGAUUUACAGCCACAGACAUACCCAGAAAUUCUUAGGUCAAAUCUGGCGAAUACGGUUCUUACCUUGAAGAAGCUUGGAAUUGAUGAUUUAGUGCAUUUUGACUUUAUGGAUCCUCCUGCACCAGAAACUUUGAUGAGGGCCUUGGAAGUUUUGAACUACUUAGGGGCACUUGAUGAUGAUGGAAACCUCACGCCUUUAGGUGAAACAAUGAGUGAAUUUCCUCUAGAUCCCCAGAUGUCAAAGAUGCUUGUCAUCAGUCCAAAAUACAACUGUUCAAAUGAGAUCCUUUCAAUAUCUGCCAUGCUGUCAGAGCUGUAAUCAGCAACUGUCGUGCACCUAGCUUCUUGAGCUAUUGAUCAAAAUGAUCAUACAGUUUAGGCUGAUGCAGAUAGUUGCUGUUUGUUGAGUUAUUCUGACAAAGCAAAUGGUAUCGUCUCGCCUCUUUGCAUCUGCUGACCACCAUGGACUUCGUCUGUUAUUGCCGUAUUCUUUCUCUAGUACCCAAUUGCUUUCUCCGGCCUAGGGAGGCACAGAAGGCUGCUGAUGAAGCGAAGGCUCGAUUUGGCCACAUUGACGGGGACCACCUGACACUUCUGAAUGUAUACCAUGCAUACAAGCAGAACAAUGAAGAUCCCCAGUGGUGUUAUGAGAACUUCAUCAAUGCCAGAGCUCUAAAGUCAGCUGAUAAUGUCAGACAACAGCUUGUUCGCAUCAUGACCAGAUUUAACCUCAAGAUGUGCAGCACAGACUUCAAUAGUCGGGAGUACUACGUCAAUAUCAGGAAAGCCAUGCUUGCAGGGUACUUCAUGCAGGUUGCUCACCUGGAGCGAACAGGACAUUACCUGACCGUCAAAGAUAACCAGGUUGUCCAUCUUCACCCCUCGAACUGUCUAGACCAUAAGCCGGAGUGGGUCAUCUACAAUGAGUAUGUUUUGACCACCAGAAAUUUCAUCCGCACGGUCAUGGAUAUCCGUGGUGAUUGGCUGAUUGAUGUGGCUCCACACUAUUAUGAUCUUAGUAAUUUCCCCUCGUGCGAGGCAAAGCGCGUCCUUGAGAGGCUGUACAACAAGCGGGAGAGGGAAAGAGCUGCUAAUAGGAACUGAAGUUGAUGGCGUUUUCCCCUUGCGCUAGCCUUCCACUCGAGAAGAUUCGGGUAUAUCAGCUUGUCGUGCCGGCGCCAACAAUGGAUGCUUCCUCAUCCUAUCGUAUGAUUUGGCUUGAUGGAUGCUCGUCACUACGUAUGACAUGCCAAAUGCUGCUCUCUAGCCGUACAAUCUACCAGCAAUGGCCUAGGAUCAUAUUUUUGUUUCUUUUAGAAGUUGUAGCCUGUGACGCAGGAUAUUAUGUACCGGUCUCCCAUAUUUUGAUGGUUCUGGCACCCUUUUAUUUCGGCAUAUUUGUUUCGUGUUUGGUUAGUCUUAAAAGUGAAAUGUGCAUCAUUGCUACCUUAGCCCGACUUUCUUUCGAUAGUGUCAAAUCAAAGGAAAUUUUACUUUAGGUCGCAUUUUA